rnacentral:rRNA from 1 species
AGCAGCCGCGGUAAUUCCAGCUCCAAUAGCGUAUAUUAAAGUUGUUGCAGUUAAAAAGCUCGUAGUUGAAUUUCGGGGUUAGUAGGUUGGUCAUGCCUCUGGUAUGUACUGGUCUCACUGAUUCCUCCUUCCUGAUGAACCGUAAUGCCAUUAAUUUGGUGUUGCGGGGAAUUUGGACUGUUACUUUGAAAAAUUAGAGUGUUUAAAGCAAGCUAACGCUUGAAUACAUUAGCAUGGAAUAAUGAAAUAGGACGUUCGAUCCUAUUUUGUUGGUUUCUAGGAUUGACGUAAUGAUUAAUAGGGAUAGUUGGGGGCAUUAGUAUUCAAUUGUCAGAGGUGAAAUUCUUGGAUUUAUUGAAGACUAACUACUGCGAAAGCAUUUGCCAAGGAUGUUUUCAUUAAUCAAGAACGAAAGUUAGGGGAUCGAAGACGAUCAGAUACCGUCGUAGUCUUAACCAUAAACUAUGCCGACUAGGGAUCGGAUGAUGUUAAUUUUUAAUGACUCACUCGGCGCCUUACG